UACGUAGGGGGCUAGCGUUGUCCGGAAUCAUUGGGCGUAAAGCGCGUGUAGGCGGUCCGGUAAGUCCGCUGUGAAAGUCGGGGGCUCAACCCUCGAAUGCCGGUGGAUACUGUCAGACUAGAGUACGGAAGAGGCGAGUGGAAUUCCUGGUGUAGCGGUGAAAUGCGCAGAUAUCAGGAGGAACACCCAUUGCGAAGGCAGCUCGCUGGGACGUUACUGACGCUGAGACGCGAAAGCGUGGGGGAGCAAACAGG
rnacentral:rRNA from 1 species